CAGCAGCCGCGGUAAUACGAAGGGGGCUAGCGUUGCUCGGAAUUACUGGGCGUAAAGCGUGCGUAGGCGGUGAGUUAAGUCUGCUGUGAAAUCCCCGGGCUCAACCUGGGAAUGGCAGUGGAUACUGGCUCGCUAGAGUGUGUCAGAGGAUGGUGGAAUUCCCGGUGUAGCGGUGAAAUGCGUAGAGAUCGGGAGGAACAUCAGUGGCGAAGGCGGCCAUCUGGGACAACACUGACGCUGAGGCACGAAAGCGUGGGGAGCAAACAGGAUUAGAUACCCCUGUAGUCCCUGUCUCUUAUAC
rnacentral:rRNA from 1 species